UGCCAGCCGCCGCGGUAAUACGGAGGGUGCAAGCGUUGUUCGGAAUUAUUGGGCGUAAAGAGCACGUAGGCGGAUUAGUAAGUUAGGGGUGAAAUCCCGGGGCUCAACCCCGGAACUGCCUCUAAUACUGCUAGUCUUGAGUUCGAGAGAGGUGAGUGGAAUUCCGAGUGUAGAGGUGAAAUUCGUAGAUAUUCGGAGGAACACCAGUGGCGAAGGCGGCUAACUGGCUCGGUACUGACGCUGAGAUGCGAAAGCGUGGGUAGCAAACAGGAUUAGAUA
rnacentral:rRNA from 1 species